AUGAGAAUCUCUUCGGGGUGUCUUCAAAGAAGGAAAAGAGGCUCUUUGGGCUCCCAGCUCAGCUCUAAUCAGCCAUCCAUGCAAACCAGGGCAUGGUAUUUCAUUGCUGCUCAUUUGGGGGCUCAAGCUGGUCUAAAUUGGGGGGAAAUCCACCCAAAACCCAAUGGGAAGAAACCCCUUUUUGAAGGCUUAGGGCUGUGGAUGGGUGUAUUUACAGCCCCAGGCUGCCCAUCCGUCUGCAGGAGCCUUAUAAAGAAGCCCUGGGGUUCUUUGGGGUCCCAAUGCAAUGGGGGCACAGCACUGUGGGAUCCCAAUGCAAAGGGAGCACAGCACCAUGGGGUCCCCACAUCCCCAUACAAAGGAGCCCAGAACUAUAGGGACCCCACAACCCUGCUCGAAGGAGCACAGCUCCAUGGGGUCCCCAUAUCCCCAUGCAAUGGGGGCACAGCACCAUGGGAUCCCAAUGCAAAAGGACCACAGUGCUGUGGGGUCCCCACAUCCCCAUACAAAGGAGCCCAGCACUACAGAGACCCCACACCCCCAUACUAAGGAGCACAGCGCCAUGGGGUCCCCACAUCCCCAUGCAAUGGGGUCCCAAUGCAAUGGGAGCACAGCACACUGGGGUCCCCACACCCCCCCACAAUGGGAGCUCAGGACCCCCAUUCUCACCCCCCAAGGAUGGGAUUUGUGAUGCUGAGCAAGGAGAGCUUGGAGCUGCAUGGUUGGCUGCAAAGCAAAUCGCAAAGCAGCAUUAAACCAAACCCCAUUGCAGCCUCCUCAUCCGUGCCCAGGAGCAGAGGAGCCUCCUGCCCUAUUAAUAUCAGCAUGAGGAGAGGGAACAUCUUUAUCUCUUCCAUCCAGCGAUACCUUGUCCUCUCUCUCUUUUAUGGCUCCAAUUCCCCUUUUUGUUCAGCCCCACGUGUCGCUCGUUGGGGGGGGGGGGGAGCUGCUGGAGCAUCUCGGAACAUAAUGAGAUAUCUAAAUAUGACACCUCUGCUCCGACCCAACCCCAUAAAACACCAGGGCUGGGAUGUGCUGAUCCACCGCCAGCCCCAUGCCUUAACUCCAUCAUUGCUUAAAGAUUACCCAGCAGCUUUUUUUCAAUUACCUCCUAUUAAUGUAUUUACCCGGCGUAUCUUUUAGAUCAAGCUGCAAGUUGUUGUUAUUAUUAUUUCCCGUGUAUUUAUUUUCUGUUUUCUUGCAGGGAGACGGGUUGGCUUCCCCUUAAACGGGGCCCAUAUUUCACUAUUAGAGCUGCUUCGUUAGCAGCGUGGGUUUGAGUGAUGCCAGCGCUGAGAUGCCUCCGCUCUCCAUCUCCUGGUGUUUAAUUCUGCUGCAGCUUCAAGCUGCUCCUUAGGUGAUGGGUUUGUGCUGAUGGGGUCGUGCCACCACCGAUGGCCACACGUCUGGACGCCCCAGGGGUGGGUUUGUUGCCCCACA
rnacentral:lncRNA from 1 species